rnacentral:lncRNA from 1 species
AUGGAACAGCUCAUCCUGGAGGUCAUGUCCAAGCAUGUGGAGGAUAAGAUGGUCAGGAACAGUCAGCAUGGAUUUACCAAGGGAAAAUCAUGCUUAACCAAUGUGGUAUCGUUCUGUGUUGAGAAGACUAGCUGGGUGGAUGAGGGGAGAGUGGUGGAUGUGGUCUACCUUGACUUCAGCAAGGCUUUUGACACCGUCUCCCAUAACAUCCUCAUAGACAAGCUCAGGAAGUGUGGCCUAGAUGAGUGGGCAGUGAGGUGGGUUGAUAACAGGUUGGAUGGCAGAGCCCAGAGGGUUGUACUUAGUGGUGUAGAGUCUAAUUGGAGGCCUGCAGCUAGUGGUGUCCCCCAGGGGUCAGUACUGGGUCCAGUGUUGUUCAACUUACUCAUCAAAGACCUGGACGAUGGAACAGAGUGCAUCCACAGCAAGUUUGCUCAUGAGACAAAGCUUGGAGGAGUGGCUGAUACCCCAGAGGGAUGUGCUGCCAUUCAGAGGGACCUUGACAGGCCGGAGGGUUGGGCUGAGAGGAACCUCAUGAAGUUCAACAAGGGCAAGUGCAGGGUUCUGCACCUCGGGAGGAAUAACCCCAAGCACCAGUGCUGGCUGGGGGCUGACCUGCUGGAGAGCAGCUCUACAGAGAGGGACCUGGGAGACCUGGUGGGCAGCAGGCUGACCAUGAGCCAGCAAUAUGCUCUUGUGGCCAAGAAGGCUGACGGGUUCCUGGGCUGCAUUGGGAAAAGUGUUGCCAGCAGGUCAACGGAGGUGAUCCUCCCCCUCUGCUCAGCCCUGGUGAGGCCACACCUGGAGUAUUGUGUCCAGUUCUGGGCUCCCCAGUACAAGAGGGACAUGGAGCGAGCUCAGCAGAGGGCCACUAAGAUGAUUAGAGGACUGGAGCACCUGUCAUACCAGGACAGGCUGAGAGAGCUGGGCCUGUUUAGACUGGAAAAGAGGAGGCUGACGGGAGACCUCAUCAAUGUGUAUAAAUAUCUGAGGGGAGGGUAUCAAAAGAUGGAGCCAAUCUCUUUUCAGUUGUGCCCAGCAACAGUACAAGAGGCAAUGGGCACAAACUGGAGCACAGGAGGUUCUGGCUCAAUAUGA